rnacentral:rRNA from 1 species
CCUACGGGCGGCAGCAGUGGGGAAUAUUGGACAAUGGGGGCAACCCUGAUCCAGCCAUGCCGCGUGUGUGAAGAAGGCCCUCGGGUUGUAAAGCACUUUCAGUGAGGAAGAACGCCUGGUGGUUAAUACCCAUCAGGAAAGACAUCACUCACAGAAGAAGCACCGGCUAACUCCGUGCCAGCAGCCGCGGUAAUACGGAGGGUGCGAGCGUUAAUCGGAAUUACUGGGCGUAAAGCGCGCGUAGGUGGCUUGAUAAGCCGGUUGUGAAAGCCCCGGGCUCAACCUGGGAACGGCAUCCGGAACUGUCAAGCUAGAGUGCAGGAGAGGAAGGUAGAAUUCCCGGUGUAGCGGUGAAAUGCGUAGAGAUCGGGAGGAAUACCAGUGGCGACGGCGGCCUACUGGACUGACACUGACACUGAGGUGCGAAAGCGUGGGUAGCAAACAGGAGUAGAUACCCUAGUAGUC